rnacentral:rRNA from 1 species
UACAGAGGGUGCAAGCGUUGUUCGGAAUUAUUGGGCGUAAAGAGCGCGUAGGCGGUCCAGUAAGUCCGCUCUGAAAGUCCGGGGCUCAACCCCGGGAGGCGGGCGGAUACUGUCGGGCUAGAGUCCGGAAGAGGCGAGUGGAAUUCCUGGUGUAGCGGUGGAAUGCGCAGAUAUCAGGAGGAACACCAAUAGCGAAGGCAGCUCGCUGGGACGGUAUUGACGCUAAGGCGCGAAAGCGUGGGGAGCAAACAGGG